UGUGCAGGCGGUCGUUUAAGUUUGGUGUGAAAUCUCCCGGCUCAACUGGGAGGGUGCGCCGAAUACUGAAUGACUAGAGUGCGGGAGAGGAGAGUGGAAUUCCUGGUGUAGCGGUGAAAUGCGUAGAUAUCAGGAGGAACACCGGCGGUGUAGACGGCCCUCUGGACCGCGACUGACGCUGAGACACGAAAGCGUGGGUAGCAAACAGGAUUAGAUACCCUGGUAGUCCACGCCCUAAACGAUGCAUAUUUGGUGUGGGCAGUUCAUUCUGUCCGUGCCGGAGCUAACGCGUUAAAUAUGCCGCCUGGGGAGUACAGUCGCAAGGCUGAA
rnacentral:rRNA from 1 species